rnacentral:rRNA from 1 species
GAUGAACGCUGGCGGCGUGCUUAACACAUGCAAGUCGAACGGAAAGGCCCAAGCUUGCUUGGGUACUCGAGUGGCGAAUGGGUGAGUAACACGUGGGUGAUCUGCCCUGCACUUCGGGAUAAGCCUGGGAAACUGGGUCUAAUACUGGAUAGGACCACUUCUUGGAUGUUGUGGUGGAAAGUUUUUUCGGUGUGGGAUGAGCUCGCGGCCUAUCAGCUUGUUGGUGGGGUAAUGGCCUACCAAGGCGUCGACGGGUAGCCGGCCUGAGAGGGUGUACGGCCACAUUGGGACUGAGAUACGGCCCAGACUCCUACGGGAGGCAGCAGUGGGGAAUAUUGCACAAUGGGCGCAAGCCUGAUGCAGCGACGCCGCGUGGGGGAUGACGGCCUUCGGGUUGUAAACUCCUUUCGCUAGGGACGAAGCGUUUUGUGACGGUACCUGGAGAAGAAGCACCGGCUAACUACGUG